CCUACGGGCGGCAGCAGUGAGGAAUAUUGGUCAAUGGGCGGAAGCCUGAACCAGCCAAGUAGCGUGCAGGAUGACGGCCCUACGGGUUGUAAACUGCUUUUGUACGGGAAUAACGUGCCGUACGUGUAGGGUUUUGCAUGUACCGUAUGAAUAAGGACCGGCUAAUUCCGUGCCAGCAGCCGCGGUAAUACGGAGGGUCCGGGCGUUAUCCGGAUUUAUUGGGUUUAAAGGGUGCGUAGGCCGCAUGUUAAGUUUGCUGUGAAAUGUGCGGGCUCAACCCGGGCCGUGCGGGGGAAACUGGCGUGCUUGAGUGCGCGGGAAGCAGGCGGAAUUCGUGGUGUAGCGGUGAAAUGCUUAGAUAUGACGAAGAACCCCGAUUGCGAAGGCAGCGUGCUGGAGCGGAACUGACGCUGAUGCUCGAAAGCGUGGGUAUCGAACAGGAUUAGAUACCCGAGUAGUC
rnacentral:rRNA from 1 species